rnacentral:lncRNA from 1 species
CGCCACCCGUCUGGGGCCCGAAAGGAGGGAGCUUUCCCUCUGUCCCCCAGCCUUUGGACUGUCACCAAACAAGCCAUUCGUUCACCAAAUACUUUUUAAGCGCCUACCAUGUGCCUGACAAGGGAUAUGUAACGGUGAGAAAAACUAGGUGUGGUCCAGGCCCUUCAGGGACUCAGGGGCUCGUGGAAGAAGUGGAUAUUGAAGUACUUAUCACACAAAGGAGGAUAAAAGUACGAUAGCGAUAUCUACCACGAAGCUGUUGUUCCACACCAGAACCAAAUGAGCGCAAGAUCUGACAAAAAAAAAAGGUUCAUCUUUUAUUCUUCCAAACACUUUCAUUUAAAUCAAGAGGAUGGGAUGUGGUUAUUACUGUGUUUUUAGACAAAAUCAAUGGUUUCUGGCUCUGAGAUGUUGCAUACACCCUCUCAGUCCCUGUAUCCUGAGAUGGAGUCACCUGAGAAUCCACAGCAAGUCCUAACCAGGGAUGGGUCUGGGUGAUUAAGGAAGAUUGGCUUCAGAACUGGGCCAGGGGCACUGCUUUGCUUUUGCUGUUUUGAUCAGCUCUCUGCCUGCAGGAGACGAGGAAAACCAAUGGGAACAGCCCAGUAAAGGCGCCAUUCCCCAUUUUACAGCUGGGGAAACUGAGUUACAGAGCUUUUCUGCACUGAGUCAUCAGGAGCAAAUGCUAGAUCAGGUAAUUGAACCCAAGCAAUCUGGUUCCAGAGCCAAAUAGAUGUAUGUUUUAUGGUAUACAAACAUAUACAUACAUUUUUAGGGGAAGGGUGGGGGUAGGAUGGGAUGAGGAUUAUGAGUAAUUGCUUGGUAAAUGCCAAAUACCUUUCUUGUCUGUCCCUCUUUUCAAAUGAUAAAGUAAUGUCAAUUGCACACUUUUUUUUUUUUUUUUUUGAGACAAGGUCUAGCUGGAGUACAGUGAUGC